CGCACAUUGCGCCCGCUAGUAUUCUGGCGGGCAUGCCUGUCUGAGCGUCAUUUCAACCCUCGCGCCCGGCUUCUGUCGGGGGCGGUGUUGGGGAUCGGCCGCCCGUAACUGGGAGGCCGGCCCCUAAAUGGAGUGGCGACCACGCCGUAGCCUCCUCUGCGUAGUAGUAAUACCACCUCGCAGGCGGAGAGCGGUGCGGUCCGCCGUAAAACACCCAACUUUUCAAGGUUGACCUCAGAUCAGGUAGGAAUACCCGCUGAACUUAA
rnacentral:misc_RNA from 1 species